ACGCCGAUCCCAAGCACCAUGGAGCCGACGAUUUGGAUCAAGACCUACAUCCCAAGCACCAAGGUGCCUGGUUGAUAUGGAUCGCAAUCCCGAUCCGGAGCUCCAGGGCGCCGAGGAUUUCGAUCACGAUCCCGAUCUGAAGCACCGAGUAGCCGAGGAUAUGGUUCAAGACCCCGGUCCGAAGCGACAAGGAGGCAAGGAUUUGGAUCACCACUCCGAUCAAAGGCACCAAGGCGUCGAGGGAUUGGAUUGAGAUCCCAAUCAUGAAGUUGGCUACGUAAUUUCCUGUUUUCCACACCGUUCAGGGCAUUUUGGUGGUCGUAUCGGCUUUUAGUUGCUUGCUUGGUGUUAGUGCCAAGGGAGUGGUUGGAAGCUAGGUCGUCCCCUGGAAUGCUUGUUGUAAAGGUGUAUGAGUUGUGUUUGGCUUGUUACGGGUGUUUGUUGGCUGCUUGUGCAGGAACUUUCAUGCGUGCAAGCCUCUUCAGUUGUGCUACAAGGCCUUGUUUGUCUUGUGCAUACGGUGGGUUUCCUGUGUUGCAUACCUAAUCAAGGGCAUCGUAUGGCUUGAUCGAAGUAAAAAUUCGUAAUGCGCCGCUUGCGGCGUUGCACGAACCUCGAAGUGGUCUCUGUGGCCCAUGUUGUCUUUGCUCACGUAUGGAUGGCAUGGCCCUCGGAGCGUCGCUUGGUCUCUUGGAUACGGAACCUGAUGAUGUGGGCGGUAGGGUCUUGGAUGAUUCUACCUUCGC
rnacentral:misc_RNA from 1 species